GACGAACGCUUGCGGCGUGCCUAAGAAAUGCAAGUCGAGCGAGGUCGAGGCUUCGGCCAAAGGCCUAGCGGCGAACGGUCGCGUAACACGUAAGCAACCUGCCCUGAAGUCUGGGAUAGCCCGCCGAAAGGUGGAUUAAUACCGGAUGUGGACGAUGCACCGCAUGGUUGUAUUGUUCAAAGCAGCGAUGCGCUUCAGGAUGGGCUUGCGGCCUAUCAGCUAGUUGGUGAGGGUAAUGGCCCACCAAGGCGACGACGGGUAGCUGGUCUGAGAGGAUGGUCAGCCGGACUGGGACUGAGACACGGCCCAGACUCCUACGGGGGGCAGCAAUUAGGAAUCUUGCGCAAUGGGCGAAAGCCUGACGCAGCGACGCCGCGUGACCGAUGAAGUCCUCGGAGUGUAAGGUACUUUUGUCUAGGGGAAGGAAGGAGUAGUGACGGUACCCGUCGCGAACUAAGACCCGGCCGUAACUACGUGCCAGCAGCCGCGGUAAAGUAGUGUGUAC
rnacentral:rRNA from 1 species